rnacentral:rRNA from 1 species
UGGGGAAUAUUGCACAAUGGGCGAAAGCCUGAUGCAGCAACGCCGCGUGAGUGAUGAAGGCCUUCGGGUUGUAAAGCUCUGUCUUUUGGGACGAUAAUGACGGUACCAAAGGAGGAAGCCACGGCUAACUACGUGCCAGCAGCCGCGGUAAUACGUAGGUGGCAAGCGUUGUCCGGAUUUACUGGGCGUAAAGGAUGCGUAGGCGGAUUUUUAAGUGAGAUGUGAAAACCCUAAGCUUAACUUGGGGACUGCAUUUCAUACUGGAAAUCUAGAGUGCGGGAGAGGAGAAUGGAAUUCCUAGUGUAGCGGUGAAAUGCGUGGAGAUUAGGAAGAACACCAGUGGCGAAGGCGAUUCUCUGGACCGUAACUGACGCUGAGGCAUGAAAGCGUGGGUAGCAAACAGGAUUAGAUACCCUGGUAGUCCACGCCGUAAACGAUGAGUACUAGGUGUAGGAGGUAUCGACCCCUUCUGUGCCGCAGUUAACACAAUAAGUACUCCGCCUGGGAAGUACGAUCGCAAGAUUAAAACUUAAAUGAAUUGACGGGGUCAUAGCUGUUUCCU